AACGUAGGACGCAAGCGUUAUCCGGAGUUACUGGGCGUAAAGGGCAGGCAGGCGGGUCGAUAAGUCGGAUGUGAAAUCUCCCUGGCUUAACCGGGAGAGUGCAUUUGAGACUGUCAACCUGGAGGGCAGCAGAGGAGCGUGGAAUUCCGGUGGAGUGGUGGAAAUGCGUAGAGAUCCGGAGGAACACCAGAGGCGAAAGCGGCGCUCUGGCGUGGCACCCUA
rnacentral:rRNA from 1 species